rnacentral:lncRNA from 1 species
GGCACUUGGUGGGAGCUGGGCUCACUCAGGCUGGAGCAGACUGUGGGCUGGACAAUCUCAAGGACCCAGGUGAUGCUGUGGCAUGUAACCUCUUGACUGAUGUCAGGUCAUGUGCAGGACAAGGAGGGGCAGAGAGGGGCAGUGCAGGCAGAGCUGGGGCUUUGCACUUUGGCCAGGAGAGCAGCACACUUGUGGUGCUGCCCAGGAGCUGUGGCCAGGAGGGUGGGGCCAGCAGCUCCACUGGGAGCAGCCCAGGGCUUUGCACCCAGAGGAUGGAGGGUGGUUUCAGGAUCCCAGGAAUCAACAAGGCCCUGUUUCCCCAGCUCAGAGGCAGAGAUGAAGACCUGAAAGACCCUCCAGGGCAGGGCCUGUGGGAGAGAGCUCUGGGCUCCUGACCCAGGACUGCCCAGGGCAUGGUUUCCCCUGUUCAGCCAGCAAGGGGCUCAGAGGUUCCCAGCCCUGGCUCAAGGGAGGCCAGGUGCUGGGAGCCAUUAGCCAAGUAGGUAUGACAAUUUCCUUGCCAGCGUACCCCAUGUUGCUGACAUUUUGCAGUGACAUUGAAUGUAGGUGACCUUGCUCAAGGACCAGGGCGGAUUAGGGUGUUCCCGGUUUAAGAUAAUCAGGUUUAGGGCAUUCCCAGUUUAGGUUCCAGGUUUAAGGUUUAAGAUUAUUCCUGCUGGGAAUAGGGCGUAUCCUGCUGCCUGAGUUCCCCUUGAGUUCUCAGGGGAUUUAGACAGUAUAUUUUGGAGACAGAAGCCCAGUGGAUGUGAUUUGGGCAGAGAACGUGGAUUUCCCCAGAACGUGUUUGUAGAUGGCUGGUGUGAGUUUGGGAAUAAAGAGUUGCUGUUUGAAUCUACAAGCUGUGUGGUGGCUCGUGAUUGUGUGCCCAGCCAGACUGCAGCAGCCAGGACCUGAUUUCUGUUGAGGACAACCUUGUCUUCAGCCAGGAACAAUUAUACACAUUAUAGAAGAAAUUUUAGGAGGACUCUGCC